GAUGAACGCUGGCGGCGUGCCUAAUACAUGCAAGUCGAACGCUGGAGAUCUAGCUUGCUAGAUCGAAGGAGUGGCGAACGGGUGAGUAAUACAUAAGCAACCUACCCACGAAGACUGGGAUAAUCUCUGGAAACGGGGACUAAUACCGGAUAGGUAAUCGGAAGGCAUCUUCUGGUUAUUAAAGGUUAAAAACACUGGUGGAUGGGCUUAUGGCGCAUUAGUUAGUUGGUGAGGUAACGGCCCACCAAGACGAUGAUGCGUAGCCGGCCUGAGAGGGUGAACGGCCACAUGGGGACUGAGACACGGACCAGAGUCCUACGGGAGGCAGCAGUAGGGAAUUUUCGGCAAUGGGGGCAACCCUGACCGAGCAACGCCGCGUGAGUGAAGACGGCCUUCGGGUUGUAAAGCUCUGUUGUAAGGGAAGAACGGUAGAUAGAGAAUAUCUAAGUGACGGUACCUUACCAGAAAGCCACGGCUAACUACGUG
rnacentral:rRNA from 1 species